rnacentral:rRNA from 1 species
UUCGGGGAGAGCGGCGGACGGGUGAGUAACGCGUGGGAACGUGCCUUUCGCUACGGGAUAGCCCAGGGAAACUUGGAUUAAUACCGUAUACGCCCUUUGGGGGAAAGAAUUUCGGCGAAAGAUCGGCCCGCGUCUGAUUAGGUAGUUGGUGGGGUAAUGGCCUACCAAGCCGACGAUCAGUAGCUGGUUUGAGAGGAUGAUCAGCCACACUGGGACUGAGACACGGCCCAGACUCCUACGGGAGGCAGCAGUGGGGAAUCUUGGACAAUGGGGGCAACCCUGAUCCAGCCAUGCCGCGUGAACGAUGAAGGCCCUAGGGUUGUAAAGUUCUUUCAGCGAGGAAGAUAAUGACGGUACUCGCAGAAGAAGCCCCGGCUAACUCCGUGCCAGCAGCCGCGGUAAUACGGAGGGGGUUAGCGUUGUUCGGAAUUACUGGGCGUAAAGCGCACGUAGGCGGAUUAGAAAGUUAGAGGUGAAAUCCCGGGGCUCAACCCCGGAACUGCCUUUAAAACUACUAGUCUAGAGUUCGAGAGAGGUGAGUGGAAUUCCGAGUGUAGAGGUGAAAUUCGUAGAUAUUCGGAGGAACACCAGUGGCGAAGGCGGCUCACUGGCUCGAUACUGACGCUGAGGUGCGAAAGUGUGGGGAGCAA